GUUCAGGUAGUUUAAUGUAGAAUAUAACGUUGAAGCUGUUAUGGUAGGUUAUAUAGACCUCUUGGGCA
rnacentral:tRNA from 1 species